ACGAACGCUGGCGGCAGGCUUAACACAUGCAAGUCGAACGCCCCGCAAGGGGAGUGGCAGACGGGUGAGUAACGCGUGGGAAUCUACCCAUCCCUACGGAAUAACGCAUGGAAACGUGUGCUAAUACCGUAUACGCCCUACGGGGGAAAGAUUUAUCGGGGAUGGAUGAGCCCGCGUUGGAUUAGCUAGUUGGUGGGGUAAAGGCCUACCAAGGCGACGAUCCAUAGCUGGUCUGAGAGGAUGAUCAGCCACAUUGGGACUGAGACACGGCCCAAACUCCUACGGGAGGCAGCAGUGGGGAAUAUUGGACAAUGGGCGCAAGCCUGAUCCAGCCAUGCCGCGUGAGUGAUGAAGGCCUUAGGGUUGUAAAGCUCUUUCACCGGAGAAGAUAAUGACGGUAUCCGGAGAAGAAGCCCCGGCUAACUUCGUG
rnacentral:rRNA from 1 species